UAUUUGCCUCGCAGACAUGAAUCAUACCUGUACACCAUCUGCAUAAAGGCUGGAUUGUGCACCUUUCCCCUUGUGUGCUGUUGGGUCAUUUUCAUCAAUUCUGGGGUGAUUUUGAGGCUUAAUUUGGCCAAAACUUUCUCUGCAUUUCAGCAAACGGACUGAUACUUGGGGGCAUCUUAUUUUGACAUAUUCUGGAAUGAAAUUCAACCUGUUUGUUCCUGCAGAUCUUCCUGUUUGACUGUGAAUGUUUCUUCAAUCUUCACAUCUUCACUCUCCUCUUUAAUAAACGCCAUCUUUAUAACAGUGUGGAGAUCAGUCGCUUCAGCAGGAGUUUUUCUCUGUGUUUGGACACUUUAUCCU
rnacentral:lncRNA from 1 species